UCGAGAAUCUUUCGCAAUGCCCGAAAGGGUGACGAAGCGACGCCGCGUGUGGGAAGAAGGCCUUCGGGUUGUAAACCACUGUCGGGAGUUAAGAAAUGCAAGGGUGUUAAUAGCAUCCUUGCUUGACUAAGCUCC
rnacentral:rRNA from 1 species